CUUGUGUACUAUUGUUUGUACAGAUGAACGUCGUACCUUCAGGUGUUUGGAAAUUGCUCCCAAGGAUGAACCAGACUUGUGGAGGUCUACAAUUUGUUUUCUGAGUUCUUGGCUGAUUUCUUUUGAUUUUCCCAUGAUGUCAAGCAAAGAGACACUGAGUUUGAAGGGAGGAGGUCAGAGACCUGGCAGUGUGGUGCAAGGACAACAACCUAUUCCUCAACGUCAGCAAGACAAAGGUGCUAAUCGUGGACUACAGGAAACUAAGGGCUGAGUGCGCCCCCAUUCACAUCGACGGUCUGUAGUGGAGCGGGUCGAGAGCUCAAGUUCCUCAGUGUCCACAUCACUAAGGAUCUAUCAUGGUCCACACACACCAACACAGUCGUGAAGAGGGCACGACAACACCUCUUCCCCCUCAGGAGGCUGAAGAAAUAUGGCCUGGGUCCUCAAAUCCUAUAAAAGUUCUACAGCUGCACCACUGAGAGCAUCUUGCUUUGCUACAACACCGCAAGGCGCUAUAGAGGGUAGUGCGUACGGCCCAGUACAUUACUGGAGCCAAGCUCUCUGCCAUCCAGGACCUCUAUACCAAGCUGUGUCAGAGAAAGGUCCUAAAAAUUGUCAAAGAUUCCAGUCCUAGACUGUUCUCUCUGCUACUGCAUGGCAAACAGUACCGAUGCACCAAGUCUGGAACCAACAAGAUCCUGAAAAACUUCUACCCUCAAGCCGUAAGACUGUUAAAUACUUAGUCAGGGUAGCUAUUUGGAUAACUAUUUAACUAUCUGCAUUGACCCUUUUUGCACAAACGUUUUUUGACAGAUCACAUACGCUGUUGCUACUGUUUAUUAUCUCUUAUUUUGACUUACAUGUACAUACAGUAUAGUCAAGUUAUUGUUACUCAUUGUGUAUUCAUUAUUACUUUUAUUAUUACGUGUUUUACUUUUCUAUUUUCUUUCACUCUGCUUUGUUGGGAAGGGCCGUUAGUAAGCAUUUCACUGUGUCGACACCUGUUGUUCAUGAAGCAUGUGACUAAUAACAUUUGAUUUGAUUUGCAAGAAAAUGGUGUUGAUCUCACAGCAGUCUGCAGACAAUGCACCAAGGCAUGGCUCGCUUCUUUCUCCUUAAUUUGGGAAUAAUUCACAUUGAAUUUAUGGACUAGAAAAUGAUGAGUUUUGUGUGUUUUUAGUUUGUUUUCCAUACAACAAGGAACAAAGGCUGUCUAUUUGCCACUGGUAAUGAAUCCCUCUAUUUCACAGUAUGUAAUCUUAUUAUUUGCAUUUCUAAUUUGAACAUGCAUCACAUUUACAUUGCUCAGUUCAAAAGACACAAACUAGAGAAAUACCAUCAACUCUCAUAUUAAAGCAUUUAAUAAACAAUUUCACAAUCUGUACAACAAAUUUAAUUUGAAUCUGUUUUUUCCAUAGUUUAUGGCUUCCAUAAUAUUUGGUGGUGUGUCAUUAUCACAGGUGUAUAAAACACAUAUACAUAUGUUUAACAUAUAAAUUGUUUCAGUAUUCAAUAUGAAUAUCUUAAUACACUGUAGCAAAAUACAAUUAAUGCAUUCAUCUAAUUUAGCAAUGAGAAAACAACUCACUUGAUGAAUCACAAUGGGCCUGCAGAUAUUGGUAGUUCGCAAAAUAGCUAAAUAUUUUGUGUGUCCUCAGAACAAUCUUAUCAGAGGUACUUGUCAUAGUGAGAGGCUUCUACCAAUGUCCCAACUGUAGCAUCACAUAUCAUAUUAACCCGACUGGAACAGGUAAGGGUCCGUGGAGCUGGAGAGUUCACUAGCCUGCCGGUCGACAACAGUCCUCAGAGGUGUAGUCCAAAAGAGGCUGAUGGCAAGAUCAGUGUACUGAAGCAAUUAGCCCUUGUCCAAGUUCCUGAGAGUAGCACUCUACUCUCAACGGCCCUCACUAAUCAUAACCUAAUGUACUGACGGACAACAUCACUUAAUUCAUAAUCACUGCUGAUCCAACAACGAUCCCCCCUUAAGCUCUAGAGUUCAGCCUUGUUUGCUCCUCUUGUUUCCCAUCGCUGAAGCUCUGUUUACUGUAGGGGAUCAGAGGAUGCACCAUUUGCUGCAGGAGUGAGGUAGGUGCAGGCCAUAGCUUCUACACUUAGGUCCUUGUCAGAGCACUGAGUGAAGUGCUGCUGCAGUCAUAUUCUCCCUUAGAGAAUCAUAUCAAGGUGGAGCCCAAGAGCCAGGUUCCUCACAGCAUCCAUCCAUGUGGUCGUCCAAGAGGAAUAGGUGUGCUAGGCUCAUCUGCUGUCUUUGUCACUGAACAGGAUCCACCUCACUUUGCC
rnacentral:lncRNA from 1 species